rnacentral:rRNA from 1 species
AGACAAGCUAUGAAGGGCACAUGGUGGAUGCCUUGGCAUCAAGAGCCGAUGAAGGACGUAGGAGCCUGCGAUAAGCCCUGGGGAGUUGGCAACCAAGCUGUGAUCCGGGGGUGUCCGAAUGGGGAAACCCAGCUGGAGUCAUGUCCAGUUACCCGCGCCUGAAUAUAUAGGGUGUGUGGAGGGAACGUGGGGAAGUGAAACAUCUCAGUACCCACAGGAAGAGAAAACAAUAGUGAUUCCGAGAGUAGUGGCGAGCGAAAUCGGAUGAGGCCAAACCACGUACAUGUGAUACCCGGCAGGGGUUGUGUAUGUGGGGUUGUGGGAUCGCAUGGGUGGGUCUGCCGGCCUACCGCACAGUAAGAAACUCGUGAUGAAGUUGAAGUCCGCUGGAAAGUGGCGCCGUAGAGGGUGAUAGCCCCGUAAGUGUAAGUCGCGAGCUGUGAUGCGUCAUCCCAAGUAACACGGAACCCCUGAAAUUCCGUGUGAAUCUGGCGGGACCACCCGUUAAGCCUAAAUACUCCUUGAUGACCGAUAGCGGACAAGUACCGUGAGGGAAAGGUGAAAAGUACCCCUGGCGGGGAGUGAAAUAGUACCUGAAACCGUGUGCCUACAAUCCGUCGGAGCCUUGCUCACACUUGUGUGACGGGGUGACGGCGUGCCUUUUGAAGAAUGAGCCUGCGAGUUUGCGUUGUGUUGCGAGGUUAACCCGUGUGGGGAAGCCGUAGCGAAAGCGAGUCCGAAUAGGGCGCUUGAGUAGCACGAUCAAGACCCGAAGCGAAGUGAUCUAUCCAUGGGCAGGUUGAAGCGCGGGUAAGACCGCGUGGAGGACCGAACCCACUUAGGUUGAAAACUGAGGGGAUGACCUGUGGAUAGGGGUGAAAGGCCAAUCAAACUUCGUGAUAGCUGGUUCUCCCCGAAAUGCAUUUAGGUGCAGCGUUGCGUGUUUCUUGCCGGAGGUAGAGCACUGGAUAGCCGAUGGGCCCGACCAGGUUACUGACGUUAACCAAACUCCGAAUGCCGGUAAGUGAGAGCGCAGCAGUGAGACUGCGGGGGAUAAGCUCCGUAGUCGAGAGGGAAACAGCCCAGACCAUCAGCUAAGGCCCCUAAGCGGUGACUAAGUGGAAAAGGAUGUGGAGUCGCACUGACAACCAGGAGGUUGGCUUGGAAGCAGCCACCCUUGAAAGAGUGCGUAAUAGCUCACUGGUCAAGUGAUUCCGCGCCGACAAUGUAGCGGGGCUCAAGUCAUCCGCCGAAGCUAUGGCAUUCAUGCAAGCCCAGCACCCACUCGAUGGGUGUUCAGGUGUGUGGAUGGGUAGGGGAGCGUCGUGUCGCGAGUGAAGCGCCGGAGUGAUCCAGGUGUGGAUGCGACACGAGUGAGAAUGCAGGCAUGAGUAGCGAAUCACGUGUGAGAAACACGUGCGCCGAAUGAUCAAGGGUUCCAGGGUCAAGCUAAUCUGCCCUGGGUAAGUCGGGACCUAAGGCGAGGCCGACAGGCGUAGUCGAUGGACAACGGGUUGAUAUUCCCGUACCGGCAAAGUAGCGCCCAUGACGAACCUGGUGAUGCUAACCAUCUGAAACUCAAGUGACCGGACCCUUCGGGGCGAGGCGCUUGAGCGUAGCGUGGGACCCGAACUGGUAGUAGUCAAGCGAUGGGGUGACGCAGGAAGGUAGUCCAACCGUACCGAUGGUUGUGUACGGCUAAGCAUGUAGGGCGAGAUCUAGGCAAAUCCGGAUCUCUGACUUUGAUGUCGGGCUUGAGAUGUGAUGGGGACCCCGUUGGGGGGAAGUGGAUGAUCCUAUGCUGUCGAGAAAAACCUCUAGCGAGCUAUGCGCCGCCCGUACCCCAAACCGACUCAGGUGAUCAGGUAGAGAAUACUAAGGCGAUCGAGCGAACCACGGUUAAGGAACUCGGCAAAAUGCCCCCGUAACUUCGGGAGAAGGGGGGCCCGGAACGUGAACACCCUUGCGGUGGGAGCGGGAAGGGCCGCAGAGACCAGGCCCAAGCGACUGUUUACUAAAAACACAGGUCCGUGCGAAGUUGUAAGACGAUGUAUACGGACUGACUCCUGCCCGGUGCUGGAAGGUUAAGAGGACCUGUUAGGUAGCAAUACCGAAGCGGAGAAUUUAAGCCCCAGUAAACGGCGGUGGUAACUAUAACCAUCCUAAGGUAGCGAAAUUCCUUGUCGGGUAAGUUCCGACCUGCACGAAUGGAGUAACGACUUGGGCGCUGUCUCAACCGUGGACUCGGCGAAAUUGCACUACGAGUAAAGAUGCUCGUUACGCGCGGCAGGACGGAAAGACCCCGGGACCUUUACUAUAGUUUGGUAUUGGUGUUUGGUUCGGCUUGUGUAGGAUAGGUGGGAGACUGUGAAGCAUUCACGCCAGUGAGUGUGGAGUCAUCGUUGAAAUACCACUCUGGUCGUACUAGAUGUCUAACCUAGGUCCGUUAUCCGGAUCAGGGACAGUGCCUGAUGGGUAGUUUAACUGGGGCGGUUGCCUCCUAAAGAGUAACGGAGGCGCUCAAAGGUUCCCUCAGCCUGGUUGGCAAUCAGGUGGCGAGUGUAAGUGCACAAGGGAGCUUGACUGUGAGACAGACAUGUCGAGCAGGGACGAAAGUCGGAACUAGUGAUCCGGCGUCGGCAUGUGGAAGCGACGUCGCUCAACGGAUAAAAGGUACCCCGGGGAUAACAGGCUGAUCUUCCCCAAGAGUCCAUAUCGACGGGAUGGUUUGGCACCUCGAUGUCGGCUCGUCGCAUCCUGGGGCUGGAGUAGGUCCCAAGGGUUGGGCUGUUCGCCCAUUAAAGCGGCACGCGAGCUGGGUUUAGAACGUCGUGAGACAGUUCGGUCCCUAUCCGCCGCGCGCGCAGGAAACUUGAGAAAGGCUGUCCCUAGUACGAGAGGACCGGGAUGGACGAACCUCUGGUGUGCCAGUUGUCCCGCCAGGGGCACGGCUGGUUAGCUACGUUCGGAAGUGAUAACCGCUGAAUGCAUCUAAGCGGGAAGCACGUUUCAAGAUGAGGUUUCCCACCGGGUCAACCGGGUAAGGCCCCCAGCAGAACACUGGGUUGAUAGGCCGGAGGUGUACAGCAGCAAUGCCUAGCCGACCGGUACUAAUAGGCCGAGGGCUUGUCCCA